UUUUUCAUCUAUGCUGUCUGAAAUCUACUGAGAUGUUAGCUUGAGCUGGAACAAAAAUAGUAACACUUUGCUUUCUUACAUUCAUUGUUAGAAGCAAGGAGUGGAAAUGAGUAUUCUUUUGUUUGUGUUGAUGACCUAAAUUCCUCAGUGUCAGAGGCUGAUCUAAGAUCACAUUUCCAGAAGUAUCAUAUUUGUGACAUUCUUGUCUCUGCGGAAUCUAAUAACUGCAGAUGCGCGCUUAUUUCCUUUAAAGACAUUAGUAAAGCCAAGUUAGCUGUAGAGGAAAUGAACCAGAAAAAGAUAAAAGGAAAAGAAAUAACUGUUAGAAUUGUAAAUACUGUAUCAGAGAGUAAAUAUAUGGUUUCCCAAGUGCUUAAAAAUAAGCUUUUGCUUGAAACCCAACCGGCUGAGAAGGGUCAGAGAAAUGAUCAAAGUAACACACUCACUUCAGCCUCCAAUGCUGUGGAAGCCCCUGUCACUGCUUCUGUUUCUGAGAAAAUAGCUUCUUCAAAAACCUCUUGCUCUACACAUGUACCUUCAGAAACAAAGUGCCCUGAUGGGAAACCAUCUACUGAAGAUCCUUAUUUGCUUGAAGUUAAACAAAAAGAUACUGGAGAAAACUUCCUGUUUAAACCAUUUCCUUAUUCCAGUAAGUCAUAUGAUGUCUUUGUUUUACCUGUUAAUUUGAACUUGAGCAGUUUUACCAAAUAAUUAACAAACUUAGAGGACUUCAUCCACAGGCUAGCAGGUGAGAGGAUUUGGAUUUCCUUUCCGCCCUGAUUUCUGAUGGAUCAAAUAUCCAUGGUAACUAAGUCCUAAACAUAUUGCCCAAUGUGUUACGUGAACAGUUCUUUCUUUUAUU